GCCCGUUUAGCUCAGUGGUAGAGCGCGCCACUCGUAUUCGCUUAUCACGCGCUUCCACAUGGUGAGGUCGGUCGUUCAAUCCGGCCAAUGGGCA